CGGACGGGUGAGUAACACGUGGGUAACCUACCUAUAAGACUGGGAUAACUCCGGGAAACCGGGGCUAAUACCGGAUAACACAUGAAACCGCAUGGUUUCAUGAUGAAAGACGGUUUUGCUGUCACUUAUAGAUGGACCCGCGGCGUAUUAGCUAGUUGGUGAGGUAGCGGCUCACCAAGGCCACGAUGCAUAGCCGACCUGAGAGGGUUAUCGGCCACACUGGGACUGAGACACGGCCCAG
rnacentral:rRNA from 1 species